GCUGGCCACCCGAGGUGCCUCUGAGUCACUCUGUCCUCCCUCUGGACUGGCCGCAUCUAGAGGACCCCCCACAGAGACCCCAACCCCUUCAGGCUGAUCGAAGGCGGUGGUUGGCAGAGUCAGAACUCAAGGCUCCAGCCAGGCAUCUCACCUUCUGCACUGAAGCAGGGAAGAGGGAGCCGUGAGCCCUCAGACUGACCCUGACGCCCAGCCACUCUUCACCUCGACAGGAUGAGAAUGUCAGGUGUGCUUCGCCUCCUGGCUGUAAUUUUUGCCGUGGUUACCACGUGGCUUUUCAUCCGUGAAUAUAUCAACUUCAACAUGAAAACCCUCCGCCUGCCACGCUGGAUGGGUUCAGCCCACAAGAACUCUUCACAGUUGGUGAAGACCAAGUGUGGCCUCAGCAAAUCCUGCCAAGACAACUUCUUUGCGUUUAAAAUUGUCAGUGGGGCCGCCAACGUCGUGGGCCCCACCAUGUGCUUCGAGGACCAAAUGAUCAUGAGUCCUGUGAAAAACAAUGUGGGCAGAGGCCUGAAUAUCGUCCUGGUGGACGGAACUACAGGAGUGGUGCUGAAGCAGAAAUGUUUCGACAUGUACUCUGGAGAUGCUAGCCUCCUGGCAAAAUUCCUUAAAGAAAUUUCAGAGCAGAUGCUGGUGCUGGUGGCCUCCUACGAUGACCCAGGGACCAAGAUGAACAAAGAAAUCAGGGAGCUCUUCUCCAACUUGGGCAGCACCCACGUGAUGCAACUGGGCUUCCGGGACAGCUGGGUCUUCUUAGGGGCCCAAAACUUCAAGAGUAAAAGCCCCUUUGAGCAGUUCUUAAAGAACAACCCAGAAACAAACAAAUACGACGGCUGGCCAGAGCUGCUGGAGCUGGAGGGCUGCGUGCCCCGAAAGAUAUAGGGUGGCUGCGGCCCUUCCUGCCUGGGGCCCGAGGCUGCUCCUGCCUGACCUAGGGAUCGGAGCCCAGGAUCACUGCGAGUCGGACGGGCAGGAGCUGACAGACAGCAGAGGAGAAGUGGGAGCAGCCGUGGGACAUGGAAAGCACUGAGGGCCCUCCAGUACUCUGCCGGCUUCCUCUGCUGGAAACAAAACCUUCCCUGGGUAGACGCAUCCUCUCCGGAGCUGGCCAGCGUGCACUGGUCCUUCCGGAGCUGGCUGUCUGUGGAGAGAACAGCGCUUCAAAGAAGACUGAGAAAACGCCAACAGGACGAAUCAGAGAAUUGAGGAAGGGUCUCCUGGAGAUGGGGAGCUUGGAGAGGCGGCACAGCGUGAAGAUGAAGGAAGAAGGUAAGCAUUGUGCCCAGGCCACACGGUGAGACCAGGCCAAGCUGGAUCUGGCUAGUCCUGACCCUCCACCACCAGCUGUUGUUCCACAAACCACUUGUGUAUUUCAAGCAUCACCCAUGCAGGGACCACCAUCCCCAUUCCUCCUGCCCAAGGUACAGGGUCCAAAGGCUGGUUUUCAGACCCCUGUCCUGCCAGCAGCGAGGCUUCAGACAUCCAGUCAAUCGAGGCAUCCAGUCAAGCCAGCUUUC